rnacentral:rRNA from 1 species
ACGUAGGGUGCGAGCGUUAUCCGGAAUUACUGGGUGUAAAGCGUGCGCAGGCGGUUUUGUAAGUCAGAUGUGAAAACCCCGGGCUCAACCCGGGAACUGCAUUUGAGACUGCAAGGCUAGAGUGUGGCAGAGGGGGGUAGAAUUCCACGUGUAGCAGUGAAAUGCGUAGAGAUGUGGAGGAAUACCGAUGGCGAAGGCAGCCCCCUGGGCCAAUACUGACGCUCAUGCACGAAAGCGUGGGGAGCAAACAG